rnacentral:rRNA from 1 species
CGGACGGGUGAGGUAAUGUCUGGGAAACUGCCCGAUGGAGGGGGAUAACUACUGGAAACGGUAGCUAAUACCGCAUAACGUCGCAAGACCAAAGCGGGGGACCUCCGGGCCUCGCGCCAUCAGAUGAACCCAUAUGGGAUUAGCUAGUAGGUAAGGUAACGGCUUACCUAGGCGACGAUCCCUAGCUGGUCUGAGAGGAUGAUCAGCCACACUGGGACUGAGACACGGCCCAG